CAACAACAACAACAACAAAUAUGGCGGAAUCUGUAUUGUCAAACAUGGAAGAGAAGGAUACAACCAUAAUUAAACCAAGAAGUUUAUGAAGAAGGGAUCACUGGAUUUUGUCACUUUGGUACAAGAAACAGAAAAGGAUAUCAUAGACCACCUUACUUAUACGGAAGCAUAGGAGCUGUUGAAGGAAAUUGCUGCCAGACAGUCAACAGUUAUCACUGACAGCCUGUCCUGGCCCAGCUGGGACCAUCCUCAAGCUAACCAUGAUGAUGUGUUUGCAAGAAUUGUCCAUUUGGUAGAACAUGAUGAAGACGAGCUUUGUUGUGGCAUGGCCUGACAAUACUGUACAAGCCAGAGACCAAAAAAGGGUUAAAAGUGGUGACUGAUCCUCUCACCCUCCUUAUCCAGGAAACGUUUCGGAACAACGUGUUGGCACUGAAGAUGUGGAGGACACAGAUUGAUCACAGUACAUCCUUUGGAUACAUGAACACCUUUAACGGGACGACAACAAAACUGUACCUGCCUUUUUUUUGAAAGGAAGUAGUUAAUAAAAUUAUUGUUAACAGCUUUUUUAGUCUUGUUGUUUAAGAAUGCUUGCAACAUUUAAGUGGAUAAACGGUUGUUUUAAAUUUGAAGCUUCAGUAAUGCAUUCUUUAUUAAAUGAUGUAAUCUUAUUUCUUUCAAUAUAGUGUAAAUAAUAAGAACAUAAUUAUCCUUUGUAUACAAAAUGAAAACCAAGUUUACUGUUCUAUUAAUCAUUAUUUAUUUAUCUUGUUCUUUUGUCAGAAAUAUUACAGGGGCAUACAUACAGUAUUCCUUAAAUAAAAGGGGCAGUUCUUAGAAAAUUAACAUGUAUUUCAGCAAUGCAUAUUCAAACUUUUUCCACAUUUAUAACCAGCAACAAUAUGUAAGUAUUAUAAUGUAACACAAAUUAAUACUAUGAAUUUACUACUGAUUUUGCCGUGCCUGUCAUCAAAUAAACAUGUUUUACUGAACGUUUCUUAAAAGAUGUUAUGUGGACGACUUAAUCAAUCAUUUAAUAAAUAUUUGAGCCUCGCUCUUGGAAAAGGGGGUUUAAUGCAUGUACUUAAGGUUGUCCAAGAUUAGGCUGUGCAGACUGCACAGGCUAAUCAGGGGCAACACUUUCCGCCUUAUCUGGAUUUUCUCUCCCUUUCAACAAAAAAUACAAUAAAGCAGCAAUUGUCUGCCUGAUUGGUAUGAUCAGCACAUGUUAAUCUCGUACGACAAUUUACGCACAUGCAUUAAGCCCCAUUUUCCCAGGGCAAGGCUCACCUAUUUAGGUUUUAGCUGUCUAUAUGCUCUUUAACUUUUGAAUCAUGAUGCAGUUUCAUAUAAUAAUGUAUUAUGAGUCGUUUUUAAUUGAUGCAUAUUCUUUUGUUCAGUGUUGAACUCAACAUGUAUUAUAAUAAGGUGUUCACUUAACAUUCUUGCAGUAAUGUUUUGCUGUGUAAUAUACAUGUAAUAAUAAAUCAAAAUUGAACAAACUA